AGAGUUUGAUCAUGGCUCAGGAUGAACGCUAGCGGCAGGCCUAAUACAUGCAAGGUCGAACGGAGGCCCUUUCGGGGGGCCGAGAGUGGCGGACGGGUGCGCAACGCGUAUGCAACCGACCCCGACGCGGCGGACAGCCGGUGGAAACGCCGGGCGAUCCGCCAUGCGGCCUUAGGGGGGCAUCCCCCCUUUGGCCAAAGCCUUCGGGCGCGUCGGGACGGGCAUGCGUCCCAUUAGCUUGUAGGCGGGGCGACGGCCCACCUAGGCUACGAUGGGUAGGGGAUCUGAGAGGACGGUCCCCCACACUGGCACUGAGACACGGGCCAGACUCCUGCGGGAGGCAGCAGUAGGGGAUAUUGGUCAAUGGGCGAGAGCCUGAACCAGCCAAGUAGCGUGCAGGACGACGGCCCUAUGGGUUGUAAACUGCUUUUAUGCGGGGAUAAAGUUCACUACGUGUAGUGUUUUGUAGGUACCGCAUGAAUAAGGACCGGCUAAUUCCGUGCCAGCCGCUGC
rnacentral:rRNA from 1 species